AAGUUUGCCGUUUUUCAGUCAUUUAGAUUACAAAUGGGUAAUUGAUAAUCAGUUUGAUCAUCUGAUUAUCAAUUUCCCAUUUGUAAUCUAAAUGACUGAAAAACGGCAUACUU
rnacentral:miRNA from 1 species